rnacentral:rRNA from 1 species
CAGGCCUAACACAUGCAAGUCGAACGAUGAAACUCUAGCUUGCUAGAGGUGAUUAGUGGCGGACGGGUGAGUAACAUUUAGGAAUCUGCCUAGUAGUGGGGGAUAGCUCGGGGAAACUCGAAUUAAUACCGCAUACGACCUACGGGUGAAAGGGGGCGCAAGCUCUUGCUAUUAGAUGAGCCUAAAUCAGAUUAGCUAGUUGGUGGGGUAAAGGCCCACCAAGGCGACGAUCUGUAACUGGUCUGAGAGGAUGAUCAGUCACACCGGAACUGAGACACGGUCCGGACUCCUACGGGAGGCAGCAGUGGGGAAUAUUGGACAAUGGGGGCAACCCUGAUCCAGCCAUGCCGCGUGUGUGAAGAAGGCCUUUUGGUUGUAAAGCACUUUAAGCAGGGAGGAGAGGCUAAUGGUUAAUACCCAUUAGAUUAGACGUUACCUGCAGAAUAAGCACCGGCUAACUCUGUGCCAGCAGCCGCGGUAAU